rnacentral:rRNA from 1 species
GACGAACGCUGGCGGCGUGCCUAACACAUGCAAGUCGAGCGGUCCGGCACUCAACUAAUUUUGUGAGCAGUCAUAGAAUUAGUUGAGUGCCGGAUAGCGGCGAACGGGUGAGUAACGCGUGGAUAACCUGCCCCUAUGCCCGGGAUAACCCCUCGAAAGAGGUGCUAAUACCGGAUAACCCAAUAAUGCCGGAAGGCGAAGUUGGCAAAGGCGGCGCAAGUCGUCACAGAGGGAAGGGUCCGCGUCCCAUUAGCUAGUUGGUGAGGUAAGAGCUCACCAAGGCGACGAUGGGUAGCCGGCCUGAGAGGGUGACCGGCCACACUGGGACUGAGACACGGCCCAGACUCCUACGGGAGGCAGCAGUGGGGAAUCUUCCGCAAUGGACGAAAGUCUGACGGAGCAACGCCGCGUGAGUGAAGAAGGUUUUCGGAUCGUAAAGCUCUGUCUUAAGGGACGAACGGGUCAAGGAGUAACUGUCUUGUCAUUGACGGUACCUUAAGAGGAAGCCCGGCUAACU